AGUGAACGCUGGCGGCGUGCUUAACACAUGCAAGUCGAACGAGAACGGAUUAUAGCUUGCUAUAAUUGUCAGCUAAGUGGCGCACGGGUGAGUAAUGUAUAGGUAAUAUGCCUCUUACUAAGGGAUAACAAAUGGAAACGUUUGCUAAUACCUUAUACUCCUUAUUAACAGAAGUUAAUAAGGGAAAGAUUUAUUGGUAAGAGAUUAGCCUGUAUUGUAUCAGUUAGUUGGUGGGGUAAUGGCUUACCAAGACUAUGACACAUAACUGGUUUGAGAGGAUGAUCAGUCACACUGGAACUGAGACACGGUCCAGACUCCUACGGGAGGCAGCAGUGGGGAAUAUUGCACAAUGGACGGAAGUCUGAUGCAGCAACGCCGCGUGGAGGACGACACAUUUCGGUGCGUAAACUCCUUUUAUAUGAGAAGAUAAUGACGGUAUUAUAUGAAUAAGCACCGGCUAACUCCGUGCCAGCAGCCGCGGUAACAC
rnacentral:rRNA from 1 species